AGAGUUUGAUCCUGGCUCAGAUUGAACGCUGGCGGUAUGCUUUACACAUGCAAGUCGAACGGAUUUGGGGGCUUGCUCCCAAGUUAGUGGCGAACGGGUGAGUAAUAUAUCGGAACAUAUCCGGAAGCGGGGGAUAACGUAGCGAAAGUUACGCUAAUACCGCAUAUGCCCUGAGGGGGAAAGGGGGGGAUCGCAAGACCUCUCGCUUUCGGAGUGGCCGAUAUCGGAUUAGCUAGAUGGUGAGGUAAUGGCUCACCAUGGCGACGAUCCGUAGCUGGUCUGAGAGGACGACCAGCCACACUGGAACUGAGACACGGUCCAGACUCCUACGGGAGGCAGCAGUGGGGAAUUUUGGACAAUGGGCGCAAGCCUGAUCCAGCCAUACCGCGUGAGUGAAGAAGGCCUUCGGGUUGUAAAGCUCUUCCAGCCGGAAAGAAAUCGCAUUCCUUAAUACGGGGUGUGGAUGACGGUACCGGAAGAAGAAGCACCGGCUAACUACGUGCCAGCAGCCGCGGU
rnacentral:rRNA from 1 species